rnacentral:rRNA from 1 species
CCUACGGGUGGCAGCAGUGAGGAAUAUUGGUCAAUGGAAGAAAUCCUGAACCAGCCAUGCCGCGUGCAGGACGACUGCUCUACGAGUUGUAAACUGCUUUUGUACCGGGGUAAAAUGUUCUACGCGUACGUUUUUGCAAGUACGGUACGAAUAAGGAUCGGCUAACUCCGUGCCAGCAGCCGCGGUAAUACAGAGGUUCCGAGCGUUGUCCGGAUUCAUUGGGUUUAAAGCGUGCGUAGGUUGUUUUAUAAGUUAGCGGUGAAAUACCGAUGCUCAACAUCGGGGCUGCAGAUAAUACUGUAGGACUAGAGAGCGGAUGCAGCAGGCGGAAUGUGUAGUGUAGCGGUGAAAUGCAUAGAUAUUACACAGAACACCGAUUGCGAAGGCAGCUUGCUAGGCCGGAUCUGACACUGAUGCACGAAAGCGUGGGGAUCGAACAGGAUUAGAUACCCUGGUAGUC